UAUGCUUUUAAAUGUAAAAAUGUGUUUUAUGCGUAUAUGAACUUUUCUUUAACAGCCUUGGCGGACUCGAUUGGAUGCCCCGGCCAAGGUAUCCCCGAGAAUGAGUUUUGGCACGAGCCAAAUUUUUAAGAAAUUCAUAAGCAAUGUUGAUUAUUUGAGUGAAAUGAAAUUAUUUUAUUUAGUUGAAAUGAGUUUGAAAUGUUAUGAAUCAUAGUAUGAUGAACUAUUUUAAGUUGUAUCCCUUUACUCGACUUUAGAUUUUUUAAAUGAUGUUUGUUUACUCACUGAGUUUAUAUAAACUCACCACCCUCCUUUCCACUCAUUCCAAGAUCAGGAUAGUCCAUAAAUAGCUGAUUACGUCGAACGUUAUUAUUGGACUCGCUUCCUCAGAAAUUGUAGGUCCACAGCCUUUGUUAUCUUUGGUCAUUUGGGGGCCCACACGUCAUUCUAAAUUAAAUUACAUACUCUGGUUAUCUGUGUUACUGUAUGUAUGGAUUUAUUUUGCUUUUACACUACAAAAAUUAUUUACACAGAGUUCUAUAAAUAUUGUUUUAUAAGAAAAUAGAAUAUUUCAUUUAAUAUUUUUAUUUUAUUUUAUUCUAUUAGCUACAAUUUCACCCUAAAUGAAUGUUUUAGACAUAAAAACUUGUUUUUAGUUAUGAAAUGUGUAUUUUCCCCUAUAUAUUAUAUUUUCAGCAGGUUUCAAAAAUUUUAAGAAAAAUGACCAAAAUGGCCUUGUGAGAUAGAAAAAAUUUUUUUAUUAUUGUUUUGAUUUGAAAAUAGCUUAUAAUCUUUUAAAAUAUGAUAUUUAGUAAUUAUUGCUCACAGGGGAGGUGCGAAAACUGAUAUUAAGACUUGCAAGGUUUCGGUUGGCAUUUAAGGUAAUGAAUGUCUAUCGGGACAUCGUGGCGGUUGUUACGGGCUCGAAGAAAGUACCGGGUCGUGACAUAUUUCUUUUGGUGCAGGAAUAUGAAGUUUGAGUUUUGAGUGAUUUGUAGUCCUAGAAAGUAUGACAUUACUCCUAGAUCACUCAUUUCAAGCUCAUUUUUCAUCUUUGCUUUAAAUUCGUCUAAAGAUUCACUACUUGGCCCUGUUAUGAGAAGAUCACCUACAUACAGUGACACAAUCAACUGAAUACCAUCAACAGAACUUUUAACAUAUUGGGUAGGCUCACUUACAAUUCUUAUAAAGCUUUGACUCUACAGAUAGUUGUCAAUUCUUUCAUACCAAGCCCAUGGUGCUUGUUUAAGUCCAUAUAAUGCUUUAGUGAGCUUGUAGAGCAUAUUUUCCUUUCUUGGUUCAACAAAGCGUUCUGGCUAUUCAACAUAUAUGUCUUCACUAAUAGUUCCAUUUAGAAAAGUUGAUUUGAUGUCAAAGUACCAAAUCAGCCAUCCCUUCUUUGCUACAAGUCCUACUAAGAGGUUGAUGGUGUCAUGCCUUGAAAUAGGAGCAACGGUUUCUAGCUAAUCAACAUCAUGUACUUGAGAGAACAUUUUUACCACCAGUCUGGCCUUGUACUUGUUAAUAGAUCCAUUUGACGUAAGUUUUAUUUUAU
rnacentral:lncRNA from 1 species